rnacentral:misc_RNA from 1 species
UACGUAGGUGUCAAGCGUUAUCCGGAAUUACUGGGCGUAAAGGGCACGCAGGCGGCCUGGGAAGUCCGACGUGAAAGCUCCCGGCUUAACUGGGAGAGGUCGUUGGAAACUUUUGGGCUUGAGACAGUGAGAGGGAGGCGGAAUUCCCGGUGUAGUGGUGGAAUGCGUAGAUAUCGGGAAGAACACCAGUGGCGAAAGCGGCCUCCUGGCACUGUUCUGACGCUGAGGUGCGAAAGCGUGGGGAGCGAACGGG